AGGAAAAUGUUACACAGGAGGCAACAACCACUACACCUGGUGUAUCUAUACAAAGGUAUACCUACGUGCAAAAAUGUACAGGGUACCCCAACUUACUGAGGUCCUCAACCUCCACCUUACAAAACUCCAGUUUUGCUAGCAGACAGCUAAGGCUCACGUACAGGAAGACUGGCCACCAGCCCGCAGCGCAGAACACACCCCCUUUUCACUUCUCAGGAGUCUUCCUUUAUGGACUGCCACCGGAACUGCUGAUUGCUUUCCACCUGUGUUUGGAGUUGGCCAAUCAGCGUAAUCACUGGGGGAGAGAAACAAAUGAGCAGGAGGGAGAACGACAAGAACACAUGCAGACAGUCCCCGUCUGGCAUGUAACAGGGACCCUAUUGUUGAUCAUUCUCCAACACACAAGCUGGGUCAAGAGGGUUAAGUUGCUUGGGCUGGGAGUGAGGACUCGGGGAGCCGGAUCUCUGUAGAGCAACUAGAACAUAAGUCUCUGGGUUUGAGAGGCCUAACCUCCGAAAGCCCAGAGAACCUGAAUUCUUAAUCCUAUCAGCGGAUACAAACCGGAAAGAAAGUUUAGAGCUGUUUCACCAUGAGAGCGGAAUCGCACAUAGGUGUGAGGAACAACUCGUGUGGGUUUUAAGUCCUGUAGCAGCACUGGAGGCCAAAACGCAGCCUUGGUUUUAUGCUAUGGAGGGAGCACAACUUUAAUACUUAGUAAAUGGCUGCUUUGUUUGCGUGGAGAAGUAGGUACAGGAGAAGGGAAGCUACCAACAGGAGAACCGUUAUUUUCCUUUUUAAUAUUUUAAUUUUUUAAAUAUUUUUUUUUUCAAAGAUAUAUCUUGGUAAGCGCUGUGUGAGGAAAAUAAAGACCAUCUUGUGUAUUGUAAAUGUGAAGACUUGCCAGCCAAUAUCAUGCCAGAUGGCUUCCCGCUGUAGCAUAGCUUAGCCAUAUGUCGAUCUGCAGUUAUGACUCCCAUCAAGUUAGCAGAAGGGAGAAAGGUUACGCGCUGAGCUGUAGGGCUCAACUGCUACCAAUCUCCCUGCAUCAGCAUUCAGAUUUAAGAGACUUGAUAUGACACACUUAAAUUACUUCAUUAUUUCAUCCUGAUGAUUAUGCUCUAAAACACUAAAGUUAUGCCAAACUAAACCAUUUCUAUAAAGAUUGACAUCAAAUGUAGAAAUACAUGAUUGAGUGUGGGUUGUCAGGUGAGGUGAUUUUUUCUUUUGAAAGUCCUUUUAAUCCAAUUAAAAAAGUUUGAGUGUCUCACCCAUCUCUUGUAGGGGCAGAGAAGGCUACUUUGCUAGUGUCCAGUACACUAACACAUCCGGUACACUAACAAAUGCGGCAGUCGCUUGGCUUCAAAAUGUUAGAUCUUUUCGGCGAGCAUGUGUUUACACGAGAGGAUGACUGAAAGGACUUCUACUCAAAAUCUCAGAGCUGAAAGGCAGAACUUUCUAUGGCUGAUGCUCUACUGAAAGCUUCAAGGACGUAUCUUUGUGCUGUGAGAAAAAAUCUUGGCACAUCCAUCUAGAGGUGUAGCAACUCAAAUCCAAUGUCCUGGUUACCAUGGAUGCAAAGGUAAAUAUUUAAUUCAUAAUAAGUUUAUCUCUCAAUUGGCGCGUAUCCAAUACUUUCUAGUCACUGUGUGUUACGCCUCCACCACACCUCGGGAGAGGAGGAAGGCGUAACUACCCAAGACCACGGCCACUGGAUGAUUAUGAACCUGUAUGCUAAGGCACCAGCUUGCUACCACAAUAAGUAAAGCACGCUGCUACAAUGGAUGGCUAUGGUGGGUUUAUUUGCCACACAAUAACAAUACAAACAUUUCAACACAAACAAUUACACACAAGUACAAAGACACGGGAUAAUAAUAAUAAUAAUAAUAA
ensembl:lncRNA